CUGUGUGCGUAACAAGUGACGUGGUCACGUGAUGCGCAUCCUGGCACUUCCAUUACUUUCAGUCUUGCCAUUCCCAUAUCUUCGCACGUUGAUGCAGGUGCAUGGGCUACCUGGGUGAUGUGCUGCGCCAAGCUGGGCGGUCGAGGACAAGGGUCUCCCACCUGGCACUAUCGAUGCCAAGAUCUUUGAGGUUGUCUUUGUGGCUUUUUUCCCCUCUACGGCUGUAGGCUGGUCUGCCACAGUUCUACACAGAAUAGUUGAUUUGUCAGGCAUACAAAUGACACGCCCAACCACGCGUCUUCAGCAGAAGGGAUGCGGAUUCUAUGAAUACAGGCAUGCCUAUGAAAAUCUUUGUCGGGGAUCUCAUCCUUCCAAAGAAGUCGGCGGAGGAGGCUUAAAUGAUUUAAUCAAUUGGCAUGUCUAGCGGUAAUGGUUUAAGUCUUACUGCCAUAGAGGCUACUGCUACUUUAAGCCUGGCGGUAGGGACGAGACCACUCCACUCCCAGACGUUUCCGAGAAGUCUACCAUAGACAGCACUCGCUUUGGCCACUCUUGCAGACCUUCACAUCGAUGUUUUCCGUUUGAAUGAGCGUUGCUCAUGUAAUUAAAGUGUUCAACUGCA